rnacentral:rRNA from 1 species
CCAGACUCCUACGGGAGGCAGCAGUGGGGAAUAUUGCACAAUGGGGGAAACCCUGAUGCAGCAACGCCGCGUGAGUGAGGAAGUAUUUCGGUAUGUAAAGCUCUAUCAGCAGGGAAUAGAAAAGAAGGUACCUGAAAAAGAAGCCCCGGCUAACUACGUGCCAGCAGCCGCGGUAAUACGUAGGGGGCAAGCGUUAUCCGGAUUUACUGGGUGUAAAGGGAGCGUAGACGGAAAGGCAAGUCAGAAGUGAAAGCCCAAGGCUCAACCAUGGGACUGCUUUUGGAACUGUAAGGCUAGAGUGUCGGAGAGGCAGGCGGAAUUCCUAGUGUAGCGGUGAAAUGCGUAGAUAUUAGGAGGAACACCAGUGGCGAAGGCGGCCUGCUGGACGAUGACUGACGUUGAGGCUCGAAAGCGUGGGGAGCAAACAGGAUUAGAUACCCCAGUA